rnacentral:misc_RNA from 1 species
UAAGGGAUUCCAACAGUAUCAACAUGUUAUUGGUCCUUUAAAUUAGGAUUAAAAAUUCUGCUGCUUUUAUUCAUUGAAUUAUAGUUUUAAGCACUUAAAAUAUCUGAUUUAAAUAGUGAAGUUAGAAAUAUAUGGAUCUCUAAUUGUUAUUGCAAAUGAUUACAUGCAGAAAUGAGUAAAAAUUUGGAACCUGAAGGUUUUUUCCCAAAUGAGUGAAUAAAUGUGUUGGAUCUUUUCUGCUGACCAAUUACAUAUUAAAUUUUAUUGUUUUCCUAUUUUAUUCCUGGCAAAUCUUGAAAUAAAUCAUUUGUUCUUUAACAGAAAAAAGUGCACACCUCUACAAGGGGCAACUCAUUCUUGGAGAAUAGCGUGACUUGGUUUUUCAUUUUUUUAUUGUUUUUUUGUGGAUUUG